GUAAUGCCAUGUUUAACUUUCUAAGGAAUUGCCAGACUGUUUUCCAAUGUAGCUGUACCAUUUUAUAUUCCCGCCAGCAGCAUAUUAAGGGUCUGUUUCU